AACAAUUUGUUUAUGUCUGGAAUAACACAGUUUCUCAAAAAUUAUAUAAUUUUCUGUAGAUACAAAUUUUUACUGCUUUACUGAUUGAUUGGAAGAAAUAUAAAUUCUACUGCUUUACUAGAGGAAACUAUUAACAGAGAUGUCGGAGGUUUAUGUCGAGUUCCUUCGAAAACGGCGAGAUUGAGCAUGAGACGCCGCCGUUGACAGUGUCAACCAUAUGAUCUUAACUGCGUACUACUACCAAAGGCCAUUGACUGACGCACUACUAGGCCGAGGCCAUAGCGUGCAUUUAUUAUUGGGCCGAGGCCCCACAUAUACAAACACAGAUAAAACAGAUGAUCCAGAUACUGAGCAGGGAGUAUUCAUAUCUCUACUUCAUUUGCUAUCACAGUUUACCGUUAUCAGUUAUCAGUUUCAGUUCCAGUAUUUUAUUGCUUCAAUUGCUUUACAUACCAGUACAAUUCAAAUGUGCUGAUGUCCUUUUUUAUUGCUUGGGGGCCUACAUCGCAUGUUGACGACUCAACUACUUAGGGUGCACGUAUCAGCUAUUGCCAGCCAGUUGGUUCGCUCGGUCACAUGCAGUCAGGCACCGGGUGCCAUGUUACGUCCAGGCCCAGGUUCGGAGCGUGACAGAUUAUGUAGGAAGAACUGUGAUGCAAUAGAGUUGUUUGACGAUAUGCCUGAAUAUGAUGAAUAAUUUGUUUAUUCCAUUGCUUUUGCCAUGCUCGUUAUCUUAAAGAUCUAUCACCCAACAAUCCCAAAAAUACAUUACUUCUGCUAGACAGAAUCAUUGAACAAUAUACUAUGUAUCUUAUCGUUUCGUACUUUGUUAAAUUACUAUUUGUUUGAUUACAUUCAUUUUGCUUCCAUGUGCAUGUCUAUUGUGGUAUUGUUUUUGUAUUACAUUUAAAUAAACACACAAAGUGUUAGAUACACUCCCAAUUGGCGAACAAUUCCUCUUUCAUGGCCAUCAUUUUACUGUUGUUCAGUAUCAAUUACACAUAUGGUCUUAUUUCGAAACCUCUAAAGCGAUGCAUUAUGGCUAUAUUGGUUCAAACUGGUUGGGGCGGGGGUGGACAACAUUGUUUGAUGAUAUUUCCUUGAUAUUAUAUGUCAAAAUAAUCUUGUGCCUGAAUUUUUCAAAAUUCAUUUAUAUUCUUCCUGAAUCUUGGUUCAUACAAAUAGUUAACAAAAUUGAAGUUUGAAAUGAAAAGUUGGCUUCAAUGAUUGAAAAAAAGGUAGUACAAAUGAAUCACAAUUCUAUUUGUGUAUUUUGAAAAGAUUUUACGAAGUUCUUCUUAGAUUUCACACAUUUUUAGAUGUGACACUAAGACAACUACUCGGUACAUUAUUUUGCAAAGAUAUGACAAUAUGUAAUGCAAUCAUUAAAUAUAAUGGAUGUUGCACUAAUAAUAAUAUAAGUAAUUAGUUUGAAAAGAAGACGUUCGUCUAAGAGUUGAUCAGUGUCCUAAAAGUGAUAGUGAUCUAUGAAAUGGAAAAGGAGGUUCUCCAUGUAACAUAACUUAUGGUUUAACAUACACAUAAGCCAAAAUACCAUGAUAUUGAUGUAAGGGGGGAGGAACACCCGAGGGCUCUUUGGUAUGUUAAUUGCUUAUAUUGACGCUCUCAAAGAUUAUUUUCAACUGAAAAAAGACUUUUUAUUGUUCCUAUCCCAUUGUAGAACUACAUGUAUUCUAAAUAUUCAAAGCUAUGCUGGAAUAAUAGAAGUUUGGUCGUUCUCUUUCUCUGUGCAAUACUAUUUGUAGCAAAUAAUAAGCAUGAAUUAAGUGGAAAAAAACAGGCUGAGGAUGGGGGGAAAGAAAAUGUCUUAGUCACUUAUAUGGAUAGAUAAAUCACUAAAGAGCUAUCCUCUAAUUAUUCCCAAUGUUCCUGAGAUCCUUGGGUUUCUAGUAUUCUCUUGGUAAAAUUAUUCACCUUCCCAGUUUGUUUCAGUCUUACUUUUUAGUUUUGAUCCUAUUGAUGAUCAUUUUCUAUGUAUGUGCCUCAUAUAGUUGCUGGGCUAACAGUUGUCAUACA